GCCAUAGAGUUUGGAUCUGUUGGUUGGAGCUCGACUGGGAUGUCUGUUGGAGUGAAACGGCUCUCUAUCCCAUCAAUCUAGGAGAAGCUCGGGUGUUUUCGAGGUUGCUGACAAAUCUACUGUUGUCGGAGGCCUCAGGCACUAAUGCUACAAGCAGGAGUCAUCUGCUGUAGAAGCUCGAAUGGAGACUUUCUGUUGGUGAAGUUCGGUAGGAGUCCGAUUGCUAGAGAAGUUCAUCUGGGAUUUGCCUGAUGU
rnacentral:lncRNA from 1 species